GACGAACGCUGGCGGCGUGCCUAAUACAUGCAAGUUGAGCGCUGAAGGCUGGUACUUGUACCUACUGGAUGAGCAGCGAACGGGUGAGUAACGCGUGGGGAAUCUGCCUUUGAGCGGGGGACAACAUUUGGAAACGAAAGCUAAUACCGCAUAAAAACUUUAAACACAAGCUUUAAGUUUGAAAGAUGCAAUUGCAUCACUCAAAGAUGAUCCCGCGUUGUAUUAGCUAGUUGGUGAGGUAAAGGCCCACCAAGGCGAUGAUACAUAGCCGACCUGAGAGGGUGAUCGGCCACAUUGGGACUGAGACACUGCCCAAACUCCUACGUGAGACAGCAGUAGGGAAUCUUCGGCAAUGGACGAAAGUCUGACCGAGCAACGCCGCGUGAGUGAAGAAGGGUUUCGGAUCGUAGAACUCUGUUGGUAGAGAAGAGCGUUGGUGAGAGUGGAAAGCUCAUCAAGUGACGGUAACUACCCAGAAAGGGACGGCUAACUACGUG
rnacentral:rRNA from 1 species